UACGUGAGCUGGGUUUAGAACGUCGUGAGACAGUUCGGUCCCUAUCUGCCGUAGGUGUUGGAGACUUGAGAGGAGCUGCCCCUAGUACGAGAGGACCGGGGUGGACGCACCACUGGUGGACCUGUUGUGGCGCCAGCCGCAGCGCAGGGUAGCUAUGUGCGGAAGGGAUAACCGCUGAAGGCAUCUAAGCGGGAAGCCCACCUCGAAACAAGGUCUCCUUGAGGGCCGUGGAAGACGACCACGUCGAUAGGCCGGAGGUGUAAGCGCGGCAACGCGUUCAGCUGACCGGUACUAAUAGCCCGAAUCGCUUGAUUUG
rnacentral:rRNA from 1 species